rnacentral:rRNA from 1 species
GUUUGUUUGAAGAUAUAAAUAAUUUGGCCUGCCCCCUGAUUAAUAAAGAUUAAAGGGCCGCAGUAUUAUAACUGUGCAAAGGUAGCAUAAUAAUUAGGUUUUUAAUUGGAAUCUUGUAUGAAUGGUUGGACAAAAGAAAAACUCUCUUUAUAUUAAUUUUGAAUUUAACUUUUAAGUGAAAAGGCUUAAAUAUUUUAAAGGGACGAUAAGACCCUAUAAAACUUUAUAUUGUAAUUAUAUAAAAAUAAAUUUAUAAAUAAAAAUUUUAUAUAAUGAUUUAUUAUGUUGGGGAGACACAAGUAAAAAUUUAUUUUAACUGCUUGAUAAUUUUAACAAUUAUUAUUGAAUAGUAAAAGAUCCUUUUUAGAGAUUUAUAGAUUAAGUUACUUUAGGGAUAACAGCGUAAUUUCUUUUAAGAGUUCUUAUCGAAAGAGAAGUUUGCGACCUCGAUGUUGAAUUAAAAUUUUCUAUAUAGUGAAGAAGCUAUAUAAGAAGGUCUGUUCGACCUUUAAAAUUUUACAUGAUUUGAGUUCAAACCGGCGUGAG